UUAAGCGACUAAGCGUACACGGUGGAUGCCCUGGCAGUCAGAGGCGAUGAAGGACGUGCUAAUCUGCGAUAAGCGUCGGUAAGGUGAUAUGAACCGUUAUAACCGGCGAUUUCCGAAUGGGGAAACCCAGUGUGUUUCGACACACUAUCAUUAACUGAAUCCAUAGGUUAAUGAGGCGAACCGGGGGAACUGAAACAUCUAAGUACCCCGAGGAAAAGAAAUCAACCGAGAUUCCCCCAGUAGCGGCGAGCGAACGGGGAGCAGCCCAGAGCCUGAAUCAGUGUGUGUGUUAGUGGAAGCGUCUGGAAAGGCGCGCGAUACAGGGUGACAGCCCCGUACACAAAAAUGCACAUGCUGUGAGCUCGAUGAGUAGGGCGGGACACGUGGUAUCCUGUCUGAAUAUGGGGGGACCAUCCUCCAAGGCUAAAUACUCCUGACUGACCGAUAGUGAACCAGUACCGUGAGGGAAAGGCGAAAAGAACCCCGGCGAGGGGAGUGAAAAAGAACCUGAAACCGUGUACGUACAAGCAGUGGGAGCACGCUUAGGCGUGUGACUGCGUACCUUUUGUAUAAUGGGUCAGCGACUUAUAUUCUGUAGCAAGGUUAACCGAAUAGGGGAGCCGAAGGGAAACCGAGUCUUAACUGGGCGUUAAGUUGCAGGGUAUAGACCCGAAACCCGGUGAUCUAGCCAUGGGCAGGUUGAAGGUUGGGUAACACUAACUGGAGGACCGAACCGACUAAUGUUGAAAAAUUAGCGGAUGACUUGUGGCUGGGGGUGAAAGGCCAAUCAAACCGGGAGAUAGCUGGUUCUCCCCGAAAGCUAUUUAGGUAGCGCCUCGUGAAUUCAUCUCCGGGGGUAGAGCACUGUUUCGGCAAGGGGGUCAUCCCGACUUACCAACCCGAUGCAAACUGCGAAUACCGGAGAAUGUUAUCACGGGAGACACACGGCGGGUGCUAACGUCCGUCGUGAAGAGGGAAACAACCCAGACCGCCAGCUAAGGUCCCAAAGUCAUGGUUAAGUGGGAAACGAUGUGGGAAGGCCCAGACAGCCAGGAUGUUGGCUUAGAAGCAGCCAUCAUUUAAAGAAAGCGUAAUAGCUCACUGGUCGAGUCGGCCUGCGCGGAAGAUGUAACGGGGCUAAACCAUGCACCGAAGCUGCGGCAGCGACGCUGAUGCGUUGUUGGGUAGGGGAGCGUUCUGUAAGCCUGUGAAGGUGUGCUGUGAGGCAUGCUGGAGGUAUCAGAAGUGCGAAUGCUGACAUAAGUAACGAUAAAGCGGGUGAAAAGCCCGCUCGCCGGAAGACCAAGGGUUCCUGUCCAACGUUAAUCGGGGCAGGGUGAGUCGACCCCUAAGGCGAGGCCGAAAGGCGUAGUCGAUGGGAAACAGGUUAAUAUUCCUGUACUUGGUGUUACUGCGAAGGGGGGACGGAGAAGGCUAUGUUGGCCGGGCGACGGUUGUCCCGGUUUAAGCGUGUAGGCUGGUUUUCCAGGCAAAUCCGGAAAAUCAAGGCUGAGGCGUGAUGACGAGGCACUACGGUGCUGAAGCAACAAAUGCCCUGCUUCCAGGAAAAGCCUCUAAGCAUCAGGUAACAUCAAAUCGUACCCCAAACCGACACAGGUGGUCAGGUAGAGAAUACCAAGGCGCUUGAGAGAACUCGGGUGAAGGAACUAGGCAAAAUGGUGCCGUAACUUCGGGAGAAGGCACGCUGAUAUGUAGGUGAAGCGACUUGCUCGUGGAGCUGAAAUCAGUCGAAGAUACCAGCUGGCUGCAACUGUUUAUUAAAAACACAGCACUGUGCAAACACGAAAGUGGACGUAUACGGUGUGACGCCUGCCCGGUGCCGGAAGGUUAAUUGAUGGGGUCAGCGCAAGCGAAGCUCUUGAUCGAAGCCCCGGUAAACGGCGGCCGUAACUAUAACGGUCCUAAGGUAGCGAAAUUCCUUGUCGGGUAAGUUCCGACCUGCACGAAUGGCGUAAUGAUGGCCAGGCUGUCUCCACCCGAGACUCAGUGAAAUUGAACUCGCUGUGAAGAUGCAGUGUACCCGCGGCAAGACGGAAAGACCCCGUGAACCUUUACUAUAGCUUGACACUGAACAUUGAGCCUUGAUGUGUAGGAUAGGUGGGAGGCUUUGAAGUGUGGACGCCAGUCUGCAUGGAGCCGACCUUGAAAUACCACCCUUUAAUGUUUGAUGUUCUAACGUUGACCCGUGAUCCGGGUUGCGGACAGUGUCUGGUGGGUAGUUUGACUGGGGCGGUCUCCUCCUAAAGAGUAACGGAGGAGCACGAAGGUUGGCUAAUCCUGGUCGGACAUCAGGAGGUUAGUGCAAUGGCAUAAGCCAGCUUGACUGCGAGCGUGACGGCGCGAGCAGGUGCGAAAGCAGGUCAUAGUGAUCCGGUGGUUCUGAAUGGAAGGGCCAUCGCUCAACGGAUAAAAGGUACUCCGGGGAUAACAGGCUGAUACCGCCCAAGAGUUCAUAUCGACGGCGGUGUUUGGCACCUCGAUGUCGGCUCAUCACAUCCUGGGGCUGAAGUAGGUCCCAAGGGUAUGGCUGUUCGCCAUUUAAAGUGGUACGCGAGCUGGGUUUAGAACGUCGUGAGACAGUUCGGUCCCUAUCUGCCGUGGGCGCUGGAGAACUGAGGGGGGCUGCUCCUAGUACGAGAGGACCGGAGUGGACGCAUCACUGGUGUUCGGGUUGUCAUGCCAAUGGCACUGCCCGGUAGCUAAAUGCGGAAGAGAUAAGUGCUGAAAGCAUCUAAGCACGAAACUUGCCCCGAGAUGAGUUCUCCCUGACUCCUUGAGAGUCCUGAAGGAACGUUGAAGACGACGACGUUGAUAGGCCGGGUGUGUAAGCGCAGCGAUGCGUUGAGCUAACCGGUACUAAUGAACCGUGAGGCUUAACCUU
rnacentral:rRNA from 1 species